rnacentral:rRNA from 1 species
AGAGAAAGCUUGCUUUUUCUAGGCGUCGACCGGCGCACGGGUGAGUAACGCGUAUCCAACCUGCCCAUCACUUGGGGAUAACCUUGCGAAAGUAAGACUAAUACCCAAUGACGUCUCUAGAAGACAUCUGAAGGAGAUUUAAAGAUUUAUCGGUGAUGGAUGGGGAUGCGUCUGAUUAGCUGUUGCGGGUAACGGCCCACCAAGGCGACGAUCAGUAGGGGUUCUGAGAGGAAGGCCCCCCACAUUGGAACUGAGACACGGUCCAAACUCCUACGGGAGGCAGCAGUGAGGAAUAUUGGUCAAUGGACGAGAGUCUGAACCAGCCAAGUAGCGUGCAGGAUGACGGCCCUAUGGGUUGUAAACUGCUUUUAUAAGGGAAUAAAGUGAGUCUCGUGAGACUUUUUGCAUGUACCUUAUGAAUAAGGACCGGCUAAUUCCGUG